CCUACGGGAGGCAGCAGUGGGGGAUAUUGGACAAUGGGGGGAACCCUGAUCCAGCGACGCCGCGUGAGUGAAGAAGUAUUUCGGUAUGUAAAGCUCUGUCAGCAGGGAAGAAAGAAAUGACGGUACCUGACCAAGAAGCCCCGGCUAACUACGUGCCAGCAGCCGCGGUAAUACGUAGGGGGCAAGUGUUAUCCGGAUUUACUGGGUGUAAAGGGAGCGUAGACGGUUAAGUAAGUCUGGAGUGAAAGGCCGGGGCUCAACCCCGGGACUGCUCUGGAAACUAUUUAACUUGAGUGCUGGAGAGGUAAGCGGAAUUCCUAGUGUAGCGGGGAAAUGCGUAGAUAUUAGGAGGAACACCAGUGGCGAAGGCGGCUUACUGGACUGUAACUGACGUUGAGGCUCGAAAGCGUGGGGAGCAAACAGGAUUAGAUACCCGUGUAGUC
rnacentral:rRNA from 1 species